UGGUUCCAGAGACUUGUGCAAAACCAGGCUUUGUUUCUCAUUGCUGGUGAGGCCAGGCUGCAUGCUGGGCCAGGCAAGGAGAUGUAGGUCAAGGGAGGGAUGUGAAUAAGCUGGAAGGAGGCCAGCAAACAGCUCCAAGUACUGGAUGUAAUUAUUAUGAGGGUGACAUGGUGAAAGGCAGAGCCCCAGUCCAGAGAGAUGUCUCUAAAUGGGAGGACUGGAUCACCAGAAUGCUCACAAAACCCAGCAAGUGCCAGUGGUGCCUGCUGCACAAAGGCAUUGUUUUCUUGGAGCCCUGGGAUCCUCAGCCACACCAUGUUUCCAGUGCUGCUUUUGCCGAUAUCACUUUCUGCUGGGUGGAUUUCUGACUAUCGUACCAUCUCACGUUGGUGGAACAGGGGUUGCUGAAAUGCUGGAGCAGUCUCCACCCUGAGCUGUUGGUGCAACAGCAGCCCACAUAGUUAAAUAUUAGCAGAAGUUACUUAUUUCCCCUAAAGGAGGAUCUUUAUAGCUCUGCCCUUACUCUGUAUUGUAGUCCCAGCAAUACUGUAACUCUGACAGCAGGGGUUAGAAAUUUGAUUUGUUAAGACAUUGCAAUGUCAUUA